UACGUAGGGGGCAAGCGUUGUCCGGAAUCAUUGGGCGUAAAGCGCGCGUAGGCGGCUCGGUAAGUCCGCUGUAAAAGUCCAGGGCUCAACCCUGGAAAGCCGGUGGAAACUGUCGAGCUAGAGUCCGGAAGAGGCGAGUGGAAUUCCUGGUGUAGCGGUGAAAUGCGCAGAUAUCAGGAGGAACACCAAUGGCGAAGGCAGCUCGCUGGGACGGUACUGACGCUGAGACGCGAAAGCGUGGGGAGCAAACAGG
rnacentral:rRNA from 1 species